rnacentral:rRNA from 1 species
AUACGAAAGGUGCAAGCGUUGUUCGGAUUUACUGGGCGUAAAGAGAGUGUAGGUUGUUUAUUAAGUCGGAUGUGAAAUCCCGGGGCUCAACCUCGGAACUGCAUUCGAUACUGGUAGACUAGAGUUCGGGAGGGGUAAGCGGAAUUCCGUGUGUAGCAGUGAAAUGCGUCGAUAUACGGAGGAACACCUGAGGCGAAGGCGGCUUACUGGACCGAUACUGACACUGAGACUCGAAAGCGUGGGUAGCAAACAGGAUUAGAAACCCGAGUAGUCC